rnacentral:rRNA from 1 species
UACGAAGGGUGCAAGCGUUGCUCGGAAUUAUUGGGCGUAAAGGGUUGGUAGGUGGUCUUGUUUGUCUAAGGUGAAAUCCCAUGGCUUAACUGUGGAAGUGCCUUGGAAACGGCAAGACUAGAGUCCUAGAGGGGUUUGUGGAAUUCCCGGCGUAGCGGUGAAAUGCGUAGAGAUCGGGAGGAACACCAGCGGCGAAGGCGGCAAACUGGAUAGGCACUGACACUCAACAACGAAAGCGUGGGGAGCAAACAGG